rnacentral:rRNA from 1 species
AUAAUUAAAUAGCCGCAUAAAUGUGCUAAGGUAGCAUAAUAACUUGUCUUUUUAUUGAAGACUAGAACAAAAGAUUUAAUAUUUUAAUUAUUUUAUUAAAUUUUAAUUUUUAAAUUUUCUAAAAAGUAAAAAGACUUUUAUAAGUAAGAAAGACGACAAGACCCUAUUGAACUUAACUUCAGUUUAACUGGGGUAGUUAAUUAAUUAUAAUUUUAUAUUUUAUAUUUAAAAAAAUAUCUUUUAAAAUUAAAUAAUUCAGUUACCAUAGGGAUAACAGCGCAAUUAUAUUUUUAAGAACUUAUUUAAAAAAUAGAUUACGACCUCGAUGUUGAAUUAAUAACCUAAUUAGAAGUAUAAUUCUAUACAGGAAGUCUGUUCGACUUUUAAAUAAUUACAUGAUUUGAGUUCAAACCGGUGUAAGCCAGGUUGGUUUCUAUCUUCUAUAUAUCUUAUACAGUACGAAAGGACCUAUAAAUUUAAUUUAAUUAAUCAAUUGGCAGAAAAAUGCAUUAGAAUUAGAAUCUAAUUAAUCUU